CAGUCGCCGCGGUAAUACGUAGGUGGCGAGCGUUGUCCGGAUUUAUUGGGCGUAAAGGGAGUGUAGGCGGUCUUUUAAGUCUGAUGUGAAAGCCCACGGCUCAACCGUGGAGGGUCAUUGGAAACUGGGAGACUUGAGUGCAGAAGAGGAGAGCGGAAUUCCAUGUGUAGCGGUGAAAUGCGUAGAUAUAUGGAGGAACACCAGUGGCGAAGGCGGCUCUCUGGUCUGUAACUGACGCUGAGGCUCGAAAGCGUGGGGAGCAAACAGGAUUAGAUACCCCUGUAGUCCCUGUCUCUUAUAC
rnacentral:rRNA from 1 species